UUUCCAGGUUGAUGUUCUUAUCCAUCACUUCAUAAGGACGAUAAUGUGAGAACAGGAUGUGAGGUGACAAAAUGUACUCAACUUCUGGAAAGAGAUUCCUGCCAGCACUGAAGUUGGCUAAGGCAUGAUGUACCAGUUGGGGUCCCUGGGUUUCUCUGGUGCCAGACACAGACAUGACCAGUGAACUCCAACAGCACCACCUCAGACUAUUGCCAGGCAGAAAGUGAAAACAGCAGCCAGCCCUGAACCUUCCUGGAAAAGCAGUAAGCAAAAACAGAAGAAUUUCUGAAGCUGAAAUUGCUUAGUGGUUCAGAAGAAAUGUGGUGAUCCAUAGAAUAAAACUGUUCAUGGAGUGGACA
rnacentral:lncRNA from 1 species